GACGAACGCUGGCGGCGUGCCUAAUACAUGCAAGUCGAACGCUGAAGGCGGAGCUUGCUUCUCUGGUUGAGUUGCGAACGGGUGAGUAACGCGUAGGUAACCUGCCUGGUACCUGGGGAUAACUAUUGGAAACGAUAGCUAAUACCGCAUAAUAGCAGUUGUUGCAUGAUAACUGUUUGAAAGGUUCAGUUGCUCCACUUCCAGAUGGAGCUGCUGUGUAUUAGCUAGUGGGUGGGGUAAGGGAUCACCAUGGCGACGAUACAUAGCCUACCAGAGAUGGGGAGCGGCCACGCUGGGAGGGGGACACGGCCCAGACUCAUACGGGAGGCAGCAGUAGGGAAGCUUGGGCGAUGGACGGAGGUCUGACCGAACAACGCGGCGAGGGUGAAGAAGGUUUUCGGGUCGGAAAGAUCUGUUGUUAGGGGAGAACGAGCGUGAGAGUGGAAGGUUCACAGUGUGACGGUAUCUUACCAGAAAGGGACGGCUAACUACGUG
rnacentral:rRNA from 1 species